CAGGACAUGCCCGGACUUGUUCAGCUGCCCACUUCCAGGGCUGGUUUCUUGCCUGCAAAGCAGUCUUACUAAUCCAUACUUUCUUUCCUGCAGACACACACAUUGGCUUUGAACCAAGGAUGCAACCCCAUACCAGAGCAGUCCCGGGGGGAGAAAAAUCCAGACACAAGAAGAAAAAAGGAAACUAUGCCAGCGAUUGCAAGCUUCUACAUGAUAAGACAGCCCUAUAGAGAGGCCCAGGCGAUGAAGGAACAAGGCCUGCCAACAACAACACGAGUAAAAUCAGAAGCAGAUACUACCAGCCCCAGGUGAGCCAUCAGAUAAGACCGCAGCCUUGACCAACAACUUGACGGCACCCAUAUCAGAGGUGUUGAGCCGAAGAUGUCCAGCUAAGCCAUGUCUAUGUUCUUGACCCACAGAAACUGUGAGAG